UGGCGCUUGAGGCUUUUUGCCUCAUGAUGUUCGGGUGGUUUGUUAUCGUGUUGUGAGGCAAAAAGCAGAAAGCCCCGAAGUUAAUUCUCAUUAACCACGAGGCUUGAUCUGUAUGCCUAGACAACAUCAGAUUAGCCGCUUACCUGCCGAAAGGCAAGGAGAAGAAGGCCAUG
rnacentral:antisense_RNA from 16 species